GGGGGGAUUUGGUUUACUCCAGACCCCUGUGACAUACCUAUACGUUGCCUCGGCGGAUCAGCCCGCGCCCCGUAAAACGGGACGGCCCGCCCGAGGACCCCUAAACUCUGUUUUUAGUGGAACUUCUGAGUAAAACAAACAAAUAAAUCAAAACUUUCAACAACGGAUCUCUUGGUUCUGGCAUCGAUGAAGAACGCAGCAAAAUGCGAUAAGUAAUGUGAAUUGCAAAAUUCAGUGAAUCAUCGAAUCUUUGAACGCACAUUGCGCCCGCCAGUAUUCUGGCGGGCAUGCCUGUUCGAGCGUCAUUUCAACCCUCAAGCUCAGCUUGGUGUUGGGACUCGCGGUAACCCGCGUUCCCCAAAUCGAUUGGCGGUCACGUCGAGCUUCCAUAGCGUAGUAAUCAUACACCUCGUUACUGGUAAUCGUCGCGGCCACGCCGUAAAACCCCAACUUCUGAAUGUUGACCUCGGAUCAGGUAGGAAUACCCGCUGAACUUAAGCAUAUCAAUAACCGGAGGAA
rnacentral:rRNA from 1 species